UAGUGUGAUGUUACACAGUGAUAUCAAUAUUUGACGGCAUCCUAUGCGGUUCUCCCAAAAUAUGAUCAGGAACCGAAAAAAUCACGCUCGCCGGCCGAGGGGAAGGAGGUGACCAGGCGAAGGCGAGUGGCGAACGCUGGAGUUUCGGCGAGUGGUGCAGAGCCAGCGCUGAGGAGAUGAGAGGCAGCACAGCGGGCAUUUCCGACGGACUCCGCGGCACGUCGCGGCUGCACUAUGCCGUCCUCACGGCGCUCGACAUGCUCAUCUCCUCGGUGCUCAUCUCGCCGUUGGUGGUCAGCUACUGGCGGGGCACCUGGUGUCUCAUGGACCACUACGUGUUCCCCGAGCGCGACGACUACUCCAGCUACGUGUCACUGUGCGUCGGCUUCUCAGGACUACUACUGUUCACCCUGCUGCAGCGACCCCUGGCCACCUACCUCGACCCCGAGAAGCACCGGCUCUUCUACUACAUCUCGUCGCGCCUCUACACGGCCAUCUUCGGCUUCUGCUGCGUGAACUCGUGGCGUGGAGCCUGGAAGUUCCUGGACGUGUACACGGGUGACAGCUUGGACGCCUUGCUUGCGUCGACGCUCGGCUCGGCGCUGCUGCUCACUUGCCUCAGGACGCUGCGAAACAUCUCUGCUGCGCCCUUCGCCAUCGUCACCGACCGCAGUGACGGCUACUUCUUGGUACCCACCAUGUUCAGGGUGUCUGAUACUCGAGAUACGUGGUUGUACGUGUUGGAUUGCUUCUUCAGUGUGUUCGUGAUCGGCACUCUGGUUGUGUUCGUGUGGAGAGGAUGCUGGUGCCUCCUCGAUAUGUACCUCUUCCCCGACAGAGAGGACCUAUCUGCAUGGGGAUCAUUGAUAAUGGGAUACAUCCUAGUGUUCUCAACCUUCGCCACCCAGCCGUUAGUGAAGAGCAUUGUCUCGCGAAUAUCGGGUCUUCUGAGGUUGAUCACAGUCGAUAUCUAUCUGAUACUAUCAUUCUGUGGCACGGUCAAUGUAUGGAGAGGAGUGUGGAAUCUGCUCAAUAUCUACUUUCUUCCAGAUAAUAAGGUGAUGAGCUACUGGGUGACUCACGUGGCGUGUUUUCUUUUCUUGAUACUCAUCAACUCAAGCAAUUCGAUUCUGGUGCGAGGAGUCUACAUUGAUGCAGAAGAGGAGGGAGCACAAUGUGUCGACUUCCCUUGCUACUACCUAAGGCUAUUCUUCCAGACGAGAAGGAGAAAAAAGUUACUUAGACAGAUGCAGAAGCGACAAGUAGCGGCGCUGGUGAGACGGAAAAGUGAAGGAGACGGCCUGCCCGCACCGCAAGAGGGGCCUACCAACUACCAGUCCCGGCCGAGGCCUUCACUACACAUACCAGCCGAUCCGGCCAAUGUCGUCUAAAACCCACCAGAUGCGCUGAAAGUGGCUCAAGUGACAACUGGCGGGACGCUCAAGUUCCCUCCAGUCUUCCACUGGAUUUGCGUCAUCAGCUGGAGUUCAAAAGUUCAACGCAUCUCCUCACCGACACAAACUGAGCAAUUCCAAGUUUCAAAACAAAAUAAAGGGUUCAAGCGGAGACCCAAGUAUUAACUGUGAUCCGGUGAUUUAAAAAACUCACCAAAUACAUUAAUAACUAAUAUUACCAUGGAAAGGUUCUAUGUACCUAGUGUAAAUGAAGGUUUAGUGAUGUUUAUUGAUUUAUUAUGCUUUAAGAUUGAACACUACUAGUCAUUGCUAAUACAAUGGCUAACAAAUCAAUAGGUAGAAGAGUCAAUCGAAUCAAAAUUAAAAUUAAUUUAGUAUUAUUAAUGUUAUCACCCUAGACAGCAGUCAAAUAAAGAGGCCUUCAUUUCAUAAAAGACAAAAUUAGUUCAAAAUAUACAUAAUUAAAAAAAAUAGUCCUAUGAAUAGAAACAUUAGAUUACGUCACCAUUCAUGUUGUUUAUUAUAAUUUUGGGAUGAAUCAUGUUUCAGCCAAUUAAACCUUCAAUGAAGUUAAUUCAAUACAUGCCUAAUUAAUCUCAGUUAUAUGAUAUGUCAUUCCUGAGAUUCACCAAUGAAUUGUUGAAAUUUCAACAAUUUCCUGACCUCCCAAGAUGACUUCAAAUAACCUAAUGGAAAGAAUCGAUCCCUAUCAUAUCACGAUUAACAUAUAUUCUACCAAUUCCAGUUCAAAACUCUUAGAGACCACCCGAAAUAUUUCAAAGGAGAAUGUUAACAUUUAUAUUAAACAAAUUGAGAACAUAAGAUGACAUAUUCGUCCUUUUUGGCAGAAUAGACAUUUCAAAUCGGAUUUAGGUAUAAGGAAGUGCUGAAAAUGUCACUUGCUGACAGUUCAAGAUUUAUAAGCAAGAGUUUUUCAAAACAUAGAUUUUAUACUCUGGUAAUCGCAAAUAUUCUAUUAAACGAUAUCGCAAAUAUUUUCUUGUAAUGGCGAAUACAUGAAUUAUUUUUCCCUUUCUUGGCAUAAAAAGAUUGAACGCGAAUUUCAGUCAUUCGCAGACGCGUAGUUUGUGAAAAGUUAAGAUGCAGCUGUUUAUUUAUGCUUGUAGUCAACAGCUCUGAAGCCAACUACAGAAAUAGAACGCGAUAUGUCACAACCUAUCGAAGGCAAAAUCUGUUGAAGAUUCCAUUGAACACUAUUUAAUGCUACAAUAGAGUACUGUAUAAAAUGAGCUCUUGAGAUGCGAUCCAAGUAACCGCCAAAUAAAGUUUAAAUUUCAUUCACUUUCCCCUUUAAAAACAAACACUCUCAUCAACAAGACUGAGAAGUUCACAUUAUUUUAUCGAUGAAUUGACAAGAGGCUUGUCACAGCACUAAACCAAUAAACCUGAAGUCAUUGGAAAAAUAUGAUAAAAUUAUUAGGCUACUAUCAAUCCUGAAUAUUAUUAGAAAUCCAAGUCGGGUUGGGAUGGAUAGAUUGAUUGAUUGAGUGCUUCAUUUAUGCAGAUUACAAUAUAUACUGGCUUAUACACGUAUAUAAAAUAGCUUACAAUACAGUUUUAGAUUAAAUUUACAUAAUAAAUAUAAACUUCCAAAUAAUGAAAUAAUAUUAUUGAACUGUACAUGAUGAGAAAAAAUGCAAUUUCAAAUUCCUUCAAGAUAAUAUUGUUUUGUAACUACAUAAAUUGGCGGAGCUUUAGACAUAUCAAUGUCCAUUCUUUGGACAGAAUAUUAAGAGCAUCCUUCCCAGUAACUCUUUAACAGAUAGAUGGAUAGAUGUUGGUAGAAAUUAGUUGCUUAUUGAAGUCGAGUUGAAGGUUGUCUCCACAUUACAUUAACAUUACUUUUUAUAAAAACCUACUCACAUUGGCAACAAUUACAAUUUUUAAUUAAUAUAAGAAUAACAACAAUUGUUUGAAAACUCUCAUUUGGAAUUACAAUUUAAUUGUCAAUCUAUCAGGUCUUCAUGAAAAUGAGAGCGAGAAAAAUUAUUGUUGGACCAAUGACUUAUUUGCGUCAGAUAUUUCUCAGAAUAUCCCAGUGUUUCAUCAUCAAAUAUUAAUUGGUUGCUAGGAAUCAUGUACUAACUUUAACAUUCCUUUCUUAGUGUGAUAUUCACAUAGCUUAUGAGCAUUCCUUAACUUGAUUUUGGACAAUUAUUUUAGAAUUUAUAAUGAGAUCAGAAAAUAUCAAUGAGUUUCUAUACUGAUUACACCAAGCAUUUACUUUUUACUGUAGGCUGGAAGAGAUAGAUAAUUCGAUCAAGUAUUAAAAUGAUUUGUUAUGUAAUAUAAUUUCAAUAAAAUCAUUGAACUUUACUCUUCACUAUAUAAUAAACUAUGUUUAUUUAUAUUGUUGCAAUGUAGAUAUUGUUGUGCCAAUUAUUGUAAAUAAUAAAGUAUCACUAUUUAAUAUUUA
rnacentral:misc_RNA from 1 species